UCCGGCAUGGUCUAGUGGCUAGGAUACCUGGCUCUCACCCAGGACGGCCCGGGUUCGAUUCCCCGGUGUCGUAA